rnacentral:rRNA from 1 species
CCUACGGGAGGCAGCAGUGGGGAAUCUUGCGCAAUGGGCGAAAGCCUGACGCAGCCAUGCCGCGUGAAUGAUGAAGGUCUUAGGAUUGUAAAAUUCUUUCACCGAGGACGAUAAUGACGGUACUCGGAGAGGAAGCCCCGGCUAACUUCGUGCCAGCAGCCGCGGUAAUACGAAGGGGGCUAGCGUUGCUCGGAAUUACUGGGCGUAAAGGGAGCGUAGGCGGAUAGUUUAGUCAGAGGUGAAAGCCCAGGGCUCAACCUUGGAAUUGCCUUUGAUACUGGCUAUCUUGAGUACGGAAGAGGUAUGUGGAACUCCGAGUGUAGAGGUGAAAUUCGUAGAUAUUCGGAAGAACACCAGUGGCGAAGGCGACAUACUGGUCCGUUACUGACGCUGAGGCUCGAAAGCGUGGGGAGCAAACAGGAUUAGAUACCCUGGUAGUCCACGCUGUAAACGAUGAGUGCUAGUUGUCGGCAUGCAUGCAUGUCGGUGACGCAGCUAACGCAUUAAGCACUCCGCCUGGGGAGUACGGUCGCAAGAUUAAAACUCAAAGGAAUUGACGG